GACGACGCUUGGCGGCGCGCUUAACACAUGCAAGUCGUGCGGUGUCGAAGGCAAGUCUUACGACAAGCCUUCGACACAGCGGCGAAUGGGUGAGUAACACGUGAGUAGCUGUCCUAAGGAGGGGGAUAACGCCUGGAAACGGGUGCUAAUACCCCAUAUGCCUCGCAAGAGGUAAAAGUGUACUUGUUACAGCCUUAGGGUGUGCUCGCGGCCUAUCAGCUAGUUGGUGAGGUAACGGCUCACCAAGGCUAAGACGGGUAGCCGGCCUGAGAGGGUGUACGGCCACACUGGAAUUGAGAUACGGUCCAGACUCCUACGGGAGGCAGCAGUGGGGAAUCUUGGGCAAUGGGCGAAAGCCUGACCCAGCGACGCCGCGUUGGGGAUGAAGCCCUUCGGGGCGUAAACCCAUGUUGUAGGGGACGAAGAAAGUGACGGUACCCUACGAGAAAGCCCCGGCCAACUACGUG
rnacentral:rRNA from 1 species